GACAGAGGAUGCAAGCGUUAUCCAGAAUGAUUGGGCGUAAAGCGUCUGUAGGUGGCUUUUUAAGUCCGCCGUCAAAUCCCAGGGCUCAACCCUGGACAGGCGGUGGAAACUACCAAGCUGGAGUACGGUAGGGGCAGAGGGAAUUUCCGGUGGAGCGGUGAAAGUGACGUAGAGAUCGAAAGAACACCAACGGCGAAAGAACUCUGCUGGGCCGACACUGACACUGAGAGACGAAAGCUAGGGGAGCGAAUGGG
rnacentral:rRNA from 1 species